rnacentral:rRNA from 1 species
GCCUAGCCGUUAACAAAAACAGUACAAAUACAACACCGUUCGCCAGAGAACUACAAGAUUAAAACUCAAAACUCCAAGGACUUGGCGGUACUUCACAUCAGCCUAGAGGAGCCUGUCCUAUAAUCGAUACCCCACGAUUCACCUCACCCCCCUUUGAAACUCAGCCUAUAUACCGCCGUCGCCAGCCUACCUUGUGAAAGAAACAGAGUAAGCAAAAUAGCCCCGGGCUAAAACGUCAGGUCAAGGUGUAGCCUAUAGGGCGGAAGAGAUGGGCUACACUCUCUCACUUAGAGAACACGAACAGCAUAAUGAAACACUGCUCAAAGGCGGAUUUAGUAGUAAGAUAGGCAAGAAAGCCUACCUAAAACUAGCCCUGAAGUGCGCACAC